UACGUAGGGUGCAAGCGUUGUCCGGAAUUAUUGGGCGUAGAGAGCUUGUAGGCGGUUUGUCGCGUCUGCUGUGAAAUUUCGGGGCUCAACCCCGAACUUGCAGUGGGUACGGGCAGACUAGAGUGUGGUAGGGGAGACUGGAAUUCCUGGUGUAGCGGUGAAAUGCGCAGAUAUCAGGAGGAACACCGAUGGCGAAGGCAGGUCUCUGGGCCACUACUGACGCUGAGAAGCGAAAGCAUGGGGAGCGAACAGG
rnacentral:rRNA from 1 species